rnacentral:rRNA from 1 species
GACGAACGCUGGCGGCGUGCUUAACACAUGCAAGUCGAGCGGUAAGGCCCUUUCGGGGGUACACGAGCGGCGAACGGGUGAGUAACACGUGGGUGACCUGCCCUCAGCUCUGGGAUAAGCCCGGGAAACUGGGUCUAAUACCGGAUAUGACUCCACGGUGCAUGUCGUGGGGUGGAAAGCCUUGUGCGGCUGAGGAUGGGCCCGCGGCCUAUCAGCUUGUUGGUGGGGUGAUGGCCACCAAGGCGACGACGGGUAGCCGGCCUGAGAGGGCGACCGGCCACACUGGGACUGAGACACGGCCCAGACUCCUACGGGAGGCAGCAGUGGGGAAUCUUGCGCAAUGGGCGAAAGCCUGACGCAGCGACGCCGCGUGAGGGAUGACGGCCUGG